rnacentral:snRNA from 1 species
UUGCUUCAGCAGUACAUAUACUAAACCUGGAACGGUACAGAGAAGAUCAGCAUGGCCCCUGUCCAA